rnacentral:piRNA from 1 species
UUGAUAGUUUGUACUUAAUGACGCUUAU